GACGAACGCUGGCGGCGUGCCUAAUACAUGCAAGUCGAGCGAAGUUUUUCUGGUGCUUGCCCUAGAAAAACUUAGCGGCGAACGGGUGAGUAACACGUAAAGAACCUGCCUCAUAGACUGGGACAACUAUUGGAAACGAUAGCUAAUACCGGAUAACAGCAUUAACUGCAUGGUUGAUGUUUAAAAGUUGGUUUUGCUAACACUAUGAGAUGGCUUUGCGGUGCAUUAGCUAGUUGGUGGGGUAAAGGCCUACCAAGGCGACGAUGCAUAGCCGACCUGAGAGGGUGAUCGGCCACACUGGGACUGAGACACGGCCCAGACUCCUACGGGAGGCAGCAGUAGGGAAUCUUCCGCAAUGGGCGAAAGCCUGACGGAGCAACGCCGCGUGAGUGAAGAAGGAUUUCGGUUCGUAAAGCUCUGUUGUUAGGGAAGAAUGAUUGUGUAGUAACUAUACACAGUAGAGACGGUACCUAACCAGAAAGCCACGGGUAACUACGUG
rnacentral:rRNA from 1 species